rnacentral:rRNA from 1 species
AUUGAACGCUGGCGGCAUGCUUUACACAUGCCAGUCGAACGGCAGCGCGGGCUUCGGCCUGGCGGCGAGUGGCGAACGGGUGAGUAAUACAUCGGAACGUGCCCAGUAGUGGGGGAUAGCUCGGCGAAAGCCGGAUUAAUACCGCAUACGACCUGAGGGUGAAAGCGGGGGAUCUUCGGACCUCGCGCUAUUGGAGCGGCCGAUGGCAGAUUAGCUAGUUGGUGGGGUAAAGGCCUACCAAGGCGACGAUCUGUAGCUGGUCUGUGAGGACGACCAGCCACACUGGGACUGAGACACGGCCCAGACUCCUACGGGAGGCAGCAGUGGGGAAUUUUGGACAAUGGGCGAAAGCCUGAUCCAGCAAUGCCGCGUGUGUGAUGAAGGCCUUCGGGUUGUAAAGCACUUUUGGCGGGAACGAAAAGGACUGUGCCAAUACCACGGUUCGAUGACGGUACCCGCAGAAUAAGCACCGGCUAACUACGUG